CCAGGAGGUUCUGGGGCCCUUCCGGCCCCUCGGAUUUGCGGGCCGGAGCGUCCGCCUGUUAUUUGGGUGGCGGGUGUUUCGAGAUCCCGCUCUCGCCGGUCGACAGUUCGGGAUCUGUCCGCCUGCGAAGAUCGCCUGCUGUCCUGGGUCUCUGGAAAUCGGGAUGGGUGGGAUGGUCGUGACCCCGAAUCCCGAAAGGAUUAGAAGCCUUCUCUCCGGCGUGGCCUUUCGCCGCACGCUCCUCAUCUUCGUGUGUGCCGUGGCGCGUCUGGAGCGAUUUGAGGUUUGAUUACAGCCGUGAUAAAAGUACAGUCAGGGUGACUGAGUGACUGAACCGAAUGCCGUGAUCAGAUCUCGGAGAUCGGGAACGUGAAACGGAAAGGGCCCAAAGAUCCGGAAAUCGCGUGGUUUACGAGCCGUAUAUCGAAAGUAAAGGGCACGUUCUUUGAGCGGCGAUAUCAACCCUCUGGAUUUGGCAGAACUUUCGAGAAUGUCUCGCUGGAACCGAGAAGGCGGCAUUCAUGCGAGUGAUCCCAGCAGCGGAGAUGGUGACUCAGAAUGCCUGAGUUUUGUUCCUUUGCUUCGUCACUGUGUUUCGGCAGGAUCCCCAACGUUGACGAGUCCCCAUUUAGGUCCAGAAAAUGAGGACGAUAAUACUCAACUCUUAGAUAAGCGUUUCCUCCGACGGAAGGCACCGUCCGAAUAGAUUCGUGCAGAUCGUCUUGCCUUGUGGCAAAAUGAACAGCAAAGCAUCGAGUGGGAAUCAGCAAGGCAGACGUUACGCAUUUCCCGUCACCCGUCCCUCGAGGACCAGUCGCGUAGUCUGUUUUCUUUAACGUCGGAAUCCGUCAUCGUGUCGUAAAGUGCAGCGCUUUCGGAACCGAAACCCCUAGUGCGUGGUUUGCUUUUUUUAAUCCAGUUCAUCCCCGUGAAGUUUAAAGAGUUCACAUGGCUGGAAAUCAACGCCUCUCGCUUGAGGGCUGAACCUAAUGGGGGUGAAAUGAGCCCGGAUAUUCCCCGGUUCCCGCCACUGUGGGGAAAAGAAGGUUGGGAGUCCAAAUUCUGACCCAGGGUCCCUCAUUACAGUCUUGGGUUGUAAUUGCUACGGCUAAAUCCUGGGACAACUGGCAUUUGAGGAAGUCCCGCCUGGUGGCUCAAGUAGGACCAUCCCGAAAGGAAACCUGAUAUUAGACUGGCAGAUCUCCACCGGCGAAGAACGGCCAGCGGGAUUUUUGUCCCCGGUUUGAGUUGCCAUCGAAUCCGAACGUUCCUAGCCCCCCAAACUGGAAUGAGAAUCUCAAGCAGAGGUUCUUUACAAACUCCCUUUGAGGACCGGGAAACGUUUGAACCUAGGAAGCGAAAAGUCAGAAAGUUCAGUUCCAGAUUUGUGCGUAGAAGGUAGGCUUGGAGCUUAUCACGACCUCAUUACCCGCUCUCAGGCACCAGGAGAGGAUCCCUUUCCUAAGUGAGCUCUAAUUGAAACCUACCCCUAUGGAAAAUGCGGGCACCUUUAGGCGAGACUAUAUCAUAAUAAUUUAAAAAAAAUAAAACUUUCAUAUAAAAAGAUGAAAAUUAAUUUCCAGAAGCAUGAACGGUAGCUGAGGUGCUUUCUAGCUUUUGGAGGAUCUUGUUUCAAAAACGGCGCACCCGAUACAAUCGAGAGGCACACAAUUUUCACUCUCCUUUCAAAGAAAACCCCAAAACUGCUAUUCACAGAAACACAAAACUGGUUAGUUGUCUUACUUGUUUUCUGAAUUAUAUUCCGUUUCUUUUAAAAGUGAAAGAAUGACUUCUGUGCAGGAACGAUUUAUAGAGACAGAGUGUUUAUCAAGUGGUUUCUCCGCUUUCAUAAAAAACAAUUUAUUUUCACUGAACUCCUAAAGAUAAGCAUCAAAGCCAAGAGGAAUGUACAAUGAAGUUUAUAAUUACACUACAGAAACAAACACAGGGCCGUUUUUAUUUUGCUCAAGUGAAAGAGGCUUUAUCGAAGAGACAAAGGUGUUUGGCUUGGUUUUCUAAUAUAAGUGAGAGUCGAGAAUCCCGGGGUGGAAGUUGGAUGAUAAUCCACAGGGGUCAUGUGGAUUAAACUCUGCCAACUAAAGGCACAGUAUUCCUCCUAAACAAAAACAGGCACGUAUCAGAACACGCUAGGUAUUUUAUUCUUUAUCAAAGGAUGCCUUACCUUGAGUGCGCUCGGUCGGUUGGGUGGGGUUUUUUUAAUAAAACAUUAAGUUAUCUGUUAGAAUUCCAGUUCAA